GAUGAACGCUGGCGGCGUGCCUAAUACAUGCAAGUCGAGCGAACGGACGAGAAGCUUGCUUCUCUGAUGUUAGCGGCGGACGGGUGAGUAACACGUGGAUAACCUACCUAUAAGACUGGGAUAACUUCGGGAAACCGGAGCUAAUACCGGAUGAUAUUUUGAACCGCAUGGUUCAAAAGUGAAAGACGGUUUUGCUGUCACUUAUAGAUGGAUCCGCGCUGCAUUAGCUAGUUGGUAAGGUAACGGCUUACCAAGGCAACGAUGCAUAGCCGACCUGAGAGGGUGAUCGGCCACACUGGAACUGAGACACGGUCCAGACUCCUACGGGAGGCAGCAGUAGGGAAUCUUCCGCAAUGGGCGAAAGCCUGACGGAGCAACGCCGCGUGAGUGAUGAAGGUCUUCGGAUCGUAAAACUCUGUUAUUAGGGAAGAACAAAUGUGUAAGUAACUGUGCACGUCUUGACGGUACCUAAUCAGAAAGCCACGGCUAACUACGUG
rnacentral:rRNA from 1 species